rnacentral:rRNA from 1 species
GAUGAACGCUGGCGGCGUGCCUAAUACAUGCAAGUCGAGCGAACAGAUGAGGAGCUUGCUCCUCUGACGUUAGCGGCGGACGGGUGAGUAACACGUGGAUAACCUACCUAUAAGACUGGGAUAACUUCGGGAAACCGGAGCUAAUACCGGAUAAUAUAUUUAACCGCAUGGUUCAAUAGUGAAAGACGGUUUUGCUGUAACUUAUAGAUGGAUCCGCGCCGCAUUAGCUAGUUGGUAAGGUAACGGCUUACCAAGGCAACGAUGCGUAGCCGACCUGAGAGGGUGAUCGGCCACACUGGAACUGAGCCACGGUCCAGACUCCUACGGGAGGCAGCAGUAGGGAAUCUUCCGCAAUGGGCGAAAGCCUGACGGAGCAACGCCGCGUGAGUGAUGAAGGUCUUCGGAUCGUAAAACUCUGUUAUUAGGGAAGAACAAAUGUGUAAGUAACUAUGCACGUCUUGACGGUACCUAAUCAGAAAGCCACGGCUAACUACGUG